rnacentral:rRNA from 1 species
UACGUAGGGGGCAAGCGUUAUCCGGAUUUACUGGGUGUAAAGGGAGCGUAGACGGCAUAGCAAGUCUGAAGUGAAAGCCCGUGGCUCAACCGCGGAACUGCUUUGGAAACUGUUAAGCUGGAGUACUGGAGAGGCAGACGGAAUUCCUAGUGUAGCGGUGAAAUGCGUAGAUAUUAGGAGGAACACCAGUGGCGAAGGCGGUCUGCUGGACAGCAACUGACGCUGAGGCGCGAAAGCGUGGGGAGCAAACAGG